rnacentral:rRNA from 1 species
UACGAAGGGGGCUAGCGUUGCUCGGAUUGACUGGGCGUAAAGGGCGCGUAGGCGGUUCGUACAGUCAGACGUGAAAUUCCUGGGCUCAACCUGGGGGCUGCGUUUGAUACGUGCGGACUUGAGUGCGGAAGAGGGUCGUGGAAUUCCCAGUGUAGGGGUGAAAUUCGUAGAUAUUGGGAAGAACACCGGUGGCGAAGGCGGCGACCUGGUCCGAUACUGACGCUGAGGCGCGAAAGCUAGGGGAGCAAACAGG